UACGUAGGGUGCAAGCGUUGUCCGGAAUUAUUGGGCGUAAAGAGCUCGUAGGCGGUUUGUCGCGUCUGCUGUGAAAACUGGAGGCUCAACCUCCAGCCUGCAGUGGGUACGGGCAAACUAGAGUGCGGAAGGGGCAACUGGAAUUCUCGGUGUAGCGGUGAAAUGCGUAGAUAUCGAGAGGAACACCUGCGGCGAAGGCGGGUUGCUGGGCCGACACUGACGCUGAUGCGCGAAAGCCAGGGGAGCGAACGGG
rnacentral:rRNA from 1 species